rnacentral:rRNA from 1 species
UACAGAGGGGGCAAGCGUUGUUCGGAUUCAUUGGGCGUAAAGGGUGCGUAGGUGGUGCCGUAAGUUGGAUGUGAAAUCCCGGAGCUCAACUCCGGAACUGCAUUCAAUACUGCGGUGCUAGAGUACUGGAGAGGAGAUUGGAAUUCACGGUGUAGCAGUGAAAUGCGUAGAUAUCUGGAGGAACACCGGUGGCGAAGGCGGCAUCCUGGACCGGUAUUGACGCUGAGGCGCGAAAGCCAGGGGAGCAAACGGG